rnacentral:ncRNA from 1 species
UGGAACAAUGUAGGUAAGGGAAGUCGGCAAGCCGAAUCCUCAACUUCGGGAUAAGGAUUGGCUCUAAGGGCUGGGUCGGUCAGGCUGGUGUGCAAAAUGGGGCUGGGCGCAUACUGUGGCUGGAUGAGGAGCCACCACCCCCCCACGCCCGGGGUGCCCUCCCCCAGCCGGGUCCCCUCCCCUGUGUGUUCAUGCGCAGGGCGUGCCCCUCAUGCGGCCGAGCUCUGUCUCCUUCCCCCCCUCCCCUCCCGGGGCAGGGUGUGGGGAGGGGCGGGCGGGGCCAUCACCAAGCUCGCAUCACGCUUGCGCCGGGUGGGGGGGCGCUCCGGGUCCGCGGCGACUCUGGACGCCAGCCGGGCCCUUCCCAUGGAUGGCCUCAGCUAUGACAGGCGUCACGUCCGCCCUCGGGGAGCCUGGCAGGCACCGCGUGCUUGUGCGUGCGCACCGGGGGUCCAGGGGGUGCAAGGAAGGGGAGGCCCUCUCUCCUCCUCCCCCACCCCAGCGCUGUGGCAGCACGCGUGGGCAUGCAGAUUCCCCCACCCCACCGCAGGGGCCACCCCCGGGGCCACAGUUCCGCGCUGCUCGUCGCCUGGACCGGCGCCUAGCAGCCAACUUAGAACUGGUACGGACCAGGGGAAUCCAACUGUUAAAUUGAAACAAAGCAUCGCAAAGGCCAGCGGCGGGUGUUGACGUGAUGUGAUUUCCGCCCAGUGCUCUGAAUGUCAAAGUGAAGAAAUUCAAUGAAGCGUGGGUAAAUGGCGGGAAUAACUAUGACUCUCUUAAGGUAGCCAAAUGCCUCAUCAUCUAAUUAGUGACGCGCAUGAAUGGAUGAACGAGAUUCCCACCGUCCCUACCUACUAUCCAGCGAAACCACAGCCAAGGGAAUGGGCUUGGCAGAAUCAAUGGGGAAAGAAGACCCCGUUGAGCUUGACUCUAGUCUGGCACAGUGAAGAGACAAGAGAGGUGUAGAAUAAGUGGGAGGCCCCCAGCGCCCUCCCACCCCCUUGCGGGCCGCCGGUGAAAUACCACUACUCUUAUCGUUUUUUCACUGAGCCAGUGAGAGGGGGUGAGCCCCGAGGGGCUCUCGCUUCUGGUGCCAAGCACCCGCCCCGUCGGUCUACGCGGGCCGGCGGUGGCCUGGUGCAACCCGCUCCGGGGACAGUGCCAGGUGGGGAGUUUGACUGGGGCGGUACACCUGUCAAACGGUAAUGCAGGUGUCCUAAGGCGAGCUCAGGGAGGACAGAAACCUCCCAUGGAGCAGAAGGGCAAAAGCUCGCUUGAUCUUGAUUUUCAGUAUGAAUACAGACUGUGAAAACGGGGCCUCACGAUCCUUCUGAGCUUUUGGGUUUUAAGCAUGAGGUGUCAGAAAAGUUACCACAGAGUCUUUGGCAAUGAAAUUAAACUGGAGAAACCGAAAGGAAAAGACAGCAAGAAGGAUCGAGAUGCGAGAACACUUUUGGCUAAAAAUCUCCCUUACGAGAGGGAAUGGGAAAGGGGAGGGUUGUGGGUGGGAGGGACGUUAUCGGGGCGGGGGGGGAAGCCAUUGUAAUUCAUAAGCCGUAUUUGGAAAUUUAUAUUCAUUAAAUAAAAGUUUAAAAAAAAUUAAAAAAAAAUAAAAAUCUCCCUUACAAAGUCACUCAGGAUGAAUUAAAAGAAGUGUUUGAAGAUGCUGUGGAGAUCAGACUGGUCAGCAAGGAUGGAAAGAGUAAAGGGAUUGCUUAUAUUGAUUU